UCGAUCGUUCUUUGAAUACUUGUAAGAAUGAUGUUCUAUUCUUUUCCUGUAAAUGGGAAUAUUUGCUUACUGACAUCAACCAAUUCCAAUUGUUUACAUUACAAAAAAAUUUUUUUUCUUCUAAACAAUGACUUGCGUCGGCUAUUGCCCGCGGUAGCGCCGCUCGAGAACAUGCGUGCACGACCCUUCCCCGCGACUUCGUAAGGUCUAAGAAGGCGCAACGAUGUAAACAAGGUAUUGUUUUCGGUUCGCUGACGAGGAAGUGCCCGCGGCAAGUCCGCG